rnacentral:sRNA from 12 species
CCACAGCCGGGGUGGACCCAUAAGGGAUAAGCCCGGACUCGUAAGCCGAUAGAGCGAGAUGAAAACAUCAUCGGCAGCC